UGCUACAGCUAUGCCACCCUGAACGCGCCCGAUCUCGUCUGAUCUCGGAAGCUAAGGAGGGUCGGGCCUGGUUAGUACUUGGAUGGGAGACCACCUAGGAAGACCAGGUGCUGUAGGUG
rnacentral:rRNA from 1 species